rnacentral:misc_RNA from 1 species
UGGUUCUGGCAUCGAUGAAGAACGCAGCGAAAUGCGAUAAGUAAUGCGAAUUGCAGAAUUCAGUGAAUCAUCGAAUCUUUGAACGCACAUUGCGCCCGCCGGCAUCCCGGCGGGCAUGCCCGUUCGAGCGUCAUUGCAACCCUCAGGCUCCGCCUGGCGUUGGGGACCUGCGCUGCAGCCCCCGAAAGACAGCGGCGGUCGCGCCCCGAACCGAGCGUAGUAGCACACCUCGCUACGGCGUACGGGCGCCCCCGGCCGUAAAACGACCCAGUAGUUGACCUCGGAUCGGGUAGGAAUACCCGCUGA